GCAGCCCUCCGGCGCCCGCUGCGGGGCCAGCCUCUCCGGCACCGUCCUUCCGACCUCAGUUUCCCUGUUUGCAAAGUGCGCCCGCACUUCCCGGCCCGGAACUGCCAUGACCCUGUUAGGACGGGCGGGGGAGGAAGGUCAGGGACGAAUCCUGGGGAUCUGCCUCCGUGGGGGGCGUCGGUUUGACUGUCAGCGGUGCCCUCGGGCCCAGCCCCACCCUGAAGGGGGGACAAGAAUGUCCAGAGAGGCCCCGUUCCAGCAGCCCUGUCCGGCGGGAUGGGGGCCCCAGGAAGUCCUGUUUGAGGCGGGCCUUGAAUGCGGGCUGGAGUUUGGACAGGCUUUGGGGGGAGGCUGACAUUCCUGUGUGUUGAAGGCCCACCGUGCCCCUGGCCAUGAUCUGGGCCUCCAUUAACCGGAGCCAGGCCCUCAGUGCCUACAAGGGGCUUCCAGCAGCCCCCCUAGGAGGAAGAGACUGAAGCGGGUAGUUCCAAAAGGGAAUGGAGGAGGGGGUUCUGCGUGGUGACAGGGGAGAAAGGGGGUCUCAGGGCCCAGAUAGAGGACAUCCAACCAGCACCUCCCAGCUCAUGGGCUUCAUUCCUCAUACCUGUCUGGCCACCCGGUCCUGAGCUGGAGGCAGACACCCAGAGGAACUGGGGCUCUUGUGGCGAAGGGGGUACAGACUCAAGAGAAGGGCUGUGAUGGUUGGGAUGGCUCACAGCCCAGAGGGGGGCCCCGUGUAGUGUCCUAUGCCUUGGGGCCCAAGCCCCCUCCCCGCAGACUGGGAACACCUGGAUGACUCACCUGCAGACACUUGUUCUCUGGGCCAGUUUCUCCAACUGACUCCCCACCCCGAGGCCUCCAGUCGAUAACAACCCUUUUGUGAAAGGAAGACUCUUAGGAGCCACCAUCAGGGGUGGUUCCUCUGUCCCACCUGGACACUGCUCCCCAUCUCAGGAGGAACGUCCUACCUGUCCCCUCACCCCCUCGGGGCUCAGCAGAGGUGGAGGAGGGGAACCCGCUGAGCCUGGACAGGCCAGCGGGCAGGGGAACAGGAGACCACAGAUGUACAGAUCCAUGACAUGAAGUCCCCAAAGAAGACCAAGGCAGAGGGAUGGGCAGUGCAGACCGGCACUGGGGAGGUUGAUCUCAACCAGCAGGAGGUGACAUGGGAAUACAGACCACUGAGGAGCCAGGAAGGACUAACUGGGGAACAACCUUCUGGAAGAGCCUGCUACCUGCCUCGCAAGGCAUUUAAUCUGCACAAAGACCCCCUGAGGGGCACUCAUUCCCAUUUGGCAGAUUCAAAGAGCUUCCAAGGGUCUUAUCCCAGGCCCGGUGGCGCAGAGGUAGGCUUAUCCCACUCUGAACUUGACUUUGAAUUCAGCUCUUCCUGCUGAAGGCUGAGGCAGGGGGCAGGGCUAUUUCAAUGGACUGAGGGAGGUGUCCCCAGACUGGAGGGCGAUGGGGCCAGGGCACUGCUGCCCCUCUGCUCUUUCGGGCAAGUGACUCCAGGGUUGGAAGCUACAGCUGCCAGAUUUAGCACAUAAAAACACAGGCCACCGGGACGGAUUUUAAGUUCAGAGUUUUAGUACAAGUUUGUGCUUUCUUUCCACACACAGGAGAUAAAAACCGCACUCAGGUCUACACAUUGCUGAGUCCCAGAGCCCCUCAGGCCCCCAAACCACUGGCUUCCAACCAGACCCCUCCCCUUGCUCUGGUCCCUCCUGGCGGGUCCACAAAUCACAGCUGUUCACCUCAUCCCCCCAGGCUCCUGACUUCUCCCACUACUUCCUCUCCCCAGAUCCACUGGGCGGGGGUCCAUCCUUCUAACCUGGUCCCUCCUCCAGCGCAGCCCCUACCCCCGUCUGGAUAACCACACCACCCUCUUCACCUCCUGGGCUCCAUGAAGUGCAGAGUGGGACUCAGAACCAGGCUGCCCAGAUUAGAACCAUGGUUUGGGGCUUCCCCUCCACUGUGUGGCCCUGGGCCCCUCACCUAACGUCACACCAAAACCGGAGUUGGACGAGCACAGGAUUGAGUGAUCUCGAGAAUGACAUGAGUGGUGGGGACAGACAGCUUAGCCGGUGCCUCCAAAUGGGCCCGGUCGAGGGCACUCCUGGUCAGGUCCUUGACCAGCAGCACCUCCCAAUGGGACCCCAACCUCUCCAACCCCCACCCUUUUCUGUGGGGGUUUCCAUCUCCCACAGACCCGGGUGUCUCUCACACCUUCACGCCGGCUCCUCCCACCUGGAACGCCCAGCCCCCUGCGUGCCGACUCCCUCCCGCGGCUGCCACUCCCCACCCCCCAGACUUUCCUGCCUGCCCUGGGCUUCCAAGGCGCUAAGGCCUCCCUCCGAUUCCACCCCACCCCGUUUUGCUGGGACGUGUCCUGUACCCCAUGCCGCCUUGGCAGCAGUAGAGGCUCGCUAGGACCUGCUGCGGGGUGGGUGUCCAUGCUCUGGGCCGCCAAGGUCGAGAUCCCACGUGAGUGUGUGGACGAGUGUCCCACCUGAGAUGACAUAAAUUCACAAGAGGGCUUCCCACGAAGGGAUGAAGUCGUUUCAGUUUACAGCCCUGCCCCCCACGCGCCCCCUCCCCGAUCCCAGCCCUGCCUCCCCGCGUGCUGCCAGGAGUCUGCGGUCCGGGCUGCGCCCUCGGGUGACUGUCCCAGAGCGGACUGGGGAAGGCGAUGGCCCUCGGAGGGGGACCCUUUGCGGCCGGGCGCGGCCAGGACCUCAGGGCGACACGAGG